UACGUAGGGUGCAAGCGUUAAUCGGAAUUACUGGGCGUAAAGCGUGCGCAGGCGGUUCUAUAAGACAGAUGUGAAAUCCCCGGGCUCAACUUGGGAAUUGCAGUGGAUACUGGCAGGCUGGAGUACGGUAGAGGAAGGUGGAAUUCCCGGUGUAGCAGUGAAAUGCGUAGAUAUCGGGAGGAACACCAGUGGCGAAGGCGGCCUUCUGGACCAGUACUGACGCUCAUGCACGAAAGCGUGGGGAGCAAACAGG
rnacentral:rRNA from 1 species